CAGCCGUACCAUGCUGAAUAUACCGGUUCUCGUUAGAUCACCGAAGUCAAGCAUCAUAGGGCGCGGUCAGUACUUGGGUGGGUGACCACCUGGGAACACCGCGUGCCGUU
rnacentral:rRNA from 1 species